UAGGGAAUCUUCGGCAAUGGGGGCAACCCUGACCGAGCAACGCCGCGUGAGUGAAGAAGGUUUUCGGAUCGUAAAGCUCUGUUGUAAGAGAAGAACGUGUGUGAGAGUGGAAAGUUCACACAGUGACGGUAACUUACCAGAAAGGGACGGCUAACUACGUGCCAGCAGCCGCGGUAAUACGUAGGUCCCGAGCGUUGUCCGGAUUUAUUGGGCGUAAAGCGAGCGCAGGCGGUUUAAUAAGUCUGAAGUUAAAGGCAGUGGCUUAACCAUUGUUCGCUUUGGAAACUGUUAAACUUGAGUGCAGAAGGGGAGAGUGGAAUUCCAUGUGUAGCGGUGAAAUGCGUAGAUAUAUGGAGGAACACCGGUGGCGAAAGCGGCUCUCUGGUCUGUAACUGACGCUGAGGCUCGAAAGCGUGGGGAGCAAAUAGG
rnacentral:rRNA from 1 species